rnacentral:rRNA from 1 species
CUAACUACGUGCCAGCAGCCGCGGUAAUACGUAGGGGGCUAGCGUUAUCCGGAUUUACUGGGCGUAAAGGGUGCGUAGGCGGUCUUUCAAGUCAGGAGUGAAAGGCUACGGCUCAACCGUAUUAAGCCCUUGAAACUGGGAGACUUGAGUGCAGGAGAGGAGAGUGGAAUUCCUAGUGUAGCGGUGAAAUGCGUAGAUAUUAGGAGGAACACCAGUUGCGAAGGCGGCUCUCUGGACUGUAACUGACGC